CGGACGGGUGAGUAAUGCCUAGGAAUCUGCCUGGUAGUGGGGGACAACGUUUCGAAAGGAACGCUAAUACCGCAUACGUCCUACGGGAGGAAGCAGGGGACCUUCGGGCCUUGCGCUAUCAGAUGAGCCUAGGUCGGAUUAGCUAGUUGGUGAGGUAAUGGCUCACCAAGGCGACGAUCCGUAACUGGUCUGAGAGGAUGAUCAGUCACACUGGAACUGAGACACGGUCCAGACUCCUACGGGAGGCAGCAGAU
rnacentral:rRNA from 1 species